GAUGAACGCUGGCGGCGUGCCUAAUACAUGCAAGUCGAGCGAACAGACGAGGAGCUUGCUCCUCUGACGUUAGCGGCGGACGGGUGAGUAACACGUGGAUAACCUACCUAUAAGACUGGGAUAACUUCGGGAAACCGGAGCUAAUACCGGAUAAUAUAUUGAACCGCAUGGUUCAAUAGUGAAAGACGGUUUUGCUGUCACUUAUAGAUGGAUCCGCGCCGCAUUAGCUAGUUGGUAAGGUAACGGCUUACCAAGGCAACGAUGCGUAGCCGACCUGAGAGGGUGAUCGGCCACACUGGAACUGAGACACGGUCCAGACUCCUACGGGAGGCAGCAGUAGGGAAUCUUCCGCAAUGGGCGAAAGCCUGACGGAGCAACGCCGCGUGAGUGAUGAGGGUCUUCGGAUCGUAAAACUCUGUUAUUAGGGAAGAACAAAUGUGUAAGUAACUAUGCACGUCUUGACGGUACCUAAUCAGAAAGCCACGGCUAACUACGUG
rnacentral:rRNA from 1 species